rnacentral:sRNA from 1 species
CUACGCUACGUUACACUACUAUACUAUACUUUACAAUAUAUUACUAUUAUCUCCGCUACGCUAUAAACUAUCUUCUGCUGUUACUCUUCACACUGUCACUACACCUCACAGUGUUGCUGUUUCAGAAGAACAUUUUUCCAUCUUCAGUGUCAUUGCAGUUCAAUCAUAAUUUAGACACAACUUCUGAACUUCUUUUUUUUGACUUUUACAUCAAAAAAUUGUACCCUAACAAAAUCAUCGCCAUCAUCACCAUCAACAAUUUUUUAUUUAAAAAGAAUACAUCAAUUUAUCAAACAAAGUACACUGUAUCCUUCUAUGUGAUUUUUAUUGUGAAAUUCAAAGUUUUGAUUGUGUGAUUGCAUUUUUCAUUUUGGGUUGAUUUUUGUGUUGUUGCAAUUUCUUUGAUCAAUAUUGCAAUAUUGAUUUCAAUCUUCAACAUCUGUUUUUCUUUCUUGUUACUUUUGCUUCUCC